CAUGCAAGUCGAACGAAGUAGCAAUACUUAGUGGCAGACGGGUGAGUAACAUGUAGGUAUCUUCCCUUUGGCCUGGAAUAACACGAGGAAACUUGUGCUAAUACCGGAUAAGUCUUUACGGAGAAAGCUUUAUGCACCAUUGGAUGAGCCUGCACUUGAUUAGUUUGUUGGUGGGGUAAUGGCCUACCAAGACUAUGAUCAAUAGCUGAUUUGAGAGGAUGAUCAGCCACAUUGGGACUGAGACACGGCCCAAACUCCUACGGGAGGCAGCAGUGGGGAAUAUUGCACAAUGGAGGAAACUCUGAUGCAGCGAUGCCGCGUGAGUGAAGAAGGCCCUUGGGUUGUAAAGCUCUUUCGUCGGGGAAGAAAAUGACUGUACCCGAAUAAGAAGGUCCGGCUAACUUCGUGCCAGCAGCCGCGGUAAUACGAAGGGACCUAGCGUAGUUCGGAAUUACUGGGCUUAAAGAGUUCGUAGGUGGUUGAAAAAGUUGGUGGUGAAAUCCCAGAGCUUAACUCUGGAACUGCCAUCAAAACUUUUCAGCUAGAGUAUGAUAGAGGAAAGCAGAAUUUCUAGUGUAGAGGUGAAAUUCGUAGAUAUUA
rnacentral:rRNA from 1 species